rnacentral:misc_RNA from 1 species
AACGCAACUGGCGCCGGCUUACCGGCAUGCCUGUUUCAGUGUGCUAGGAGAGUAAACUAUCAUUAUAAAAUAUAAUGCGAUUGAGGUACAUUUAUGUUCUUCUUUCGUUAAAUAUGAAGGUGUGAAAGAUGAGUAAUCUCUCACACUGGCAAACGAAGUAGUCAUGCUUGUUCGUGAUCUCGUUUAACCAGUGCUAAAGGUUUUUGCUUAGCUAUAAAUCACAUCUAAUAAAUUAAAUAUCCCCAAAUUUGGCAUUUAAAAUAAAAAAAGGAUACCCGCCGAACUUAA